CCAUUAGAUGUUCUGGGCCGCACGCGUGCUACACUGAGUGGAUCAGCGGGUCAGGUUGCGCGAAAGCGUUUCCUAAUCUUUAAAUCCGCUCGUGAUGGGGAUUGACGGUUGCAAUUUUCUGUCAUGAACGAGGAAUACCUUGUAAGCGCGGGUCAUCAUCCCGCGCUGAAUACGUCCCUGCCCUUUGUACACACCGCCCGUCGCUCCUACCGAUUGAGUGGUCCGGUGAGGCUUUGGGAUCUGAGCGGAAAGAGCGUUUCGCUGUUUCUGCUCGGAAAACUCAGUCGAACCUUAUCAUUUAGAGGAAGGAGAAGUCGUAACA
rnacentral:rRNA from 1 species